rnacentral:rRNA from 1 species
UCGAGCGAGCUGAAUUCAAAGAUCCCUUCGGGGUGAUUUGUUGGACGCUAGCGGCGGAUGGGUGAGUAACACGUGGGCAAUCUGCCCUAAAGACUGGGAUCCCACUUGGAAACAGGUGCUAAUACCGGAUAACAACAUGAAUCGCAUGAUUCAAGUUUGAAAGACGGCGCAAGCUGUCACUUUAGGAUGAGCCCGCGGCGCAUUAGCUAGUUGGUGGGGUAAAGGCCUACCAAGGCAAUGAUGCGUAGCCAAGUUGAGAGACUGAUCGGCCACAUUGGGACUGAGACACGGCCCAAACUCCUACGGGAGGCAGCAGUAGGGAAUCUUCCACAAUGGACGCAAGUCUGAUGGAGCAACGCCGCGUGAGUGAAGAAGGUUUUCGGAUCGUAAAGCUCUGUUGUUGGUGAAGAAGGAUAGAGGCAGUAACUGGUCUUUAUUUGACGGUAAUCAACCAGAAAGUCACGGCUAACUACGUGCCAGCAGCCGCGGUAAUACGUAGGUGGCAAGCGUUGUCCGGAUUUAUUGGGCGUAAAGCGAGCGCAGGCGGAAUGAUAAGUCUGAUGUGAAAGCCCACGGCUCAACCGUGGAACUGCAUCGGAAACUGUCGUUCUUGAGUGCAGAAGAGGAGAGUGGAACUCCAGGUGUAGCGGUGGAAUGCGUAGAUAUAUGGAAGAACACCAGUGGCGAAGGCGGCUCUCUGGUCUGCAACUGACGCUGAGGCUCGAAAGCAUGGGUAGCGAACAGGAUU